rnacentral:rRNA from 1 species
UACGGAGGGUGCAAGCGUUAUCCGGAUUUACUGGGUUUAAAGGGUGCGCAGGCGGAUAUGUAAGUCAGUGGUGAAAUCUCUAGGCUUAACCUGGAAAUUGCCGUUGAUACUAUAUAUCUUGAAUGCUGUGGAGGUAAGCAGAAUAUGUCAUGUAGCGGUGAAAUGCUUAGAUAUGACAUAGAAUACCUAUUGCGAAGGCAGCUUACUACGCAGAUAUGACGUCAUGCACGAAAGCGUGGGGAUCAAACAGG